AGCGAACGCUGGCGGCAGGCUUAACACAUGCAAGUCGAGCGGGCCCUUCGGGGUCUGCGGCAGACUGGAGAGUAACGCGUGGGAACGUGCCCUUCGGUUCGGAAUCCCUCAGGGAAGCUUGAGCUAAUACCGGAUACGCCCUUAUGGGGAAAGGCUUGCUGGCGAAGGAUCGGCCCGCGUAUGAUUAGCUAGUUGGUGAGGUUAUGGCCCACCAAGGGGACGUUCAGUAGCUGGUCUGAGAGGAUGACCAGCCACACUGGGACAGAGACACGUCGCAGAUCCUCAGGGGAGGAAGCAAGGCGGAAUAAUCGACGCCGGGUGAGAGACGAAGGCUGCCAGGCCGCGAGACUCAGGACGGCGUUAGGGUUGUAAGUCAGUGUGCACCGGGACGAUAGUGACGGAAACGGAGGAAUAAGCGCCGGCUAACUUCGUG
rnacentral:rRNA from 1 species